rnacentral:rRNA from 1 species
GGUAACGGCGGGACCGCAGGUGCGGUAAUACGGAGGGUGCGGGCGGUAAGCUGAAUGACUGGGCGUAAAGUGUGCGCAGGCGGCCGCGCAAGUCGAGGGGGAAAGCCCCGAGCUUAACUUGGGAACUGCGCUCGAAACUACGUGGCUGGAGUGUGGCAGAGGAAGGUGGAAUUCCAGGUGUAGCGGUGAAAUGCGUAGAGAUCUGGAGGAACACCGAUGGCGAAGGCAGCCUUCUGGGCCAACACUGACGCUCAUGCACGAAAGCGUGGGGAGCAAACAGGAUUAGAUACCCGAGUAGUC